ACAAUACAUUGUAUAGCACUUCAACAGUAUUUCUUAACAGCAUUAAAAUAGAAAUAUCACAUUCUUCAACAAAUGUCUAAUGUAGAAUUUAAGCACCAGUUAUCCCGAUGCAUAGCUAAUACAUGUGAUAAAUAUACCAUGGUUUUAAUAAAUAGAGGUUCAUUAUCAACAUGUAACUUUUUUUUAUACAUUAUGGUUCUGCCAAUUAAUACAUUUUUUAAAUAAAUGUCAAAUUAACAUUUUAACUUAUUAUGGCACAAAAAUUAUGUAGAAUAAUGGAAUUUCUGUUUUUUUUUACACUGACUUAAUUAGCAAAUAUCAAUACUUGUUGGUAUUGAAA
rnacentral:lncRNA from 1 species